GCGUGUGUGAAGAAGGCCUUAGGGUUGUAAAACACUUUCGCCCGCGAAGAUGAUGACGGUAGCGGGAGAAGAAGCCCCGGCUAACUCCGUGCCAGCAGCCGCGGUAAUACGGAGGGGGCUAGCGUUGUUCGGAAUUACUGGGCGUAAAGCGCACGUAGGCGGCGUGUCGAGUUAGAUGUGAAAGGCCUGGGCUCAACCUGGGAACUGCAUUUAAUACUGACAUGCUAGAGUCCGGAAGGGGGUGACGGAAUUCCCAGUGUAGAGGUGAAAUUCGU
rnacentral:rRNA from 1 species